rfam:Strongyloides ratti strain ED321 Heterogonic genome assembly, chromosome: 2
GCGUUGAUGGUUAAGUGGUAUAAUUCUCGCCUGCCACGCGGGAGUCCCGGGUUCGAUUCCCGGUCAACGCA